UACGUAGGGGGCAAGCGUUGUCCGGAUUUAUUGGGCGUAAAGAGCGUGUAGGCGGCUUGGUAGGUCCGCUGUGAAAACUCGAGGCUCAACCUCGAGAUGUCGGCGGAAACCACUUGGCUAGAGUCCGGAAGAGGAGAGUGGAAUUCCUGGAUGUAGCGGUGAAUGCGCAGAUAUCAGGAAGAACACCUAUGGCGAAGGCAGCUCUCUGGGACGGUACUGACGCUGAGACGCGAAAGCGUGGGAGCGAACAGG
rnacentral:rRNA from 1 species